GAAAUGCGAUAAGUAAUGUGAAUUGCAGAAUUCAGUGAAUCAUCGAAUCUUUGAACGCACAUUGCGCCCGCCAGCACUCUGGCGGGCAUGCCUGUUCGAGCGUCAUUUCAACCCUCAGAACCCCUUGCGGGAUCUGGCGUUGGGGAUUGGCAUCCAGCCAGCCCCGAAAUAUAGUGGCGGUCCCUCCGCGACCUCCCCUGUGCAGUAGCGAUACCUCGCAGCGGGACAGCGGUCUGACCACGCCGUAAAACCCCCAACUUCUCAAGGUUGACCUCGAAUCAGGUAGGAAUACCCGCUGAACUUAAGC
rnacentral:misc_RNA from 1 species